rnacentral:rRNA from 1 species
UACAGAGGUCUCAAGCGUUGUUCGGAUUCAUUGGGCGUAAAGCGCGCGCAGGCGGUCCUUUAAGUCUGAUGUGAAAGCCCACGGCUCAACCGUGGAGGGUCAUUGGAAACUGGGGGACUUGAGUGCAGGAGAGAAGAGUGGAAUUCCACGUGUAGCGGAUGAAAUGCGUAGAGAUGUGGAGGAACACCAGUGGCGAAGGCGACUCUUUGGCCUGUAACUGACGCUGAGGCGCGAAAGCGUGGGGAGCAAACAGG